UGUAUGAGCUGUUUCGGAUAUUUCGACUCCUGGCCUGGCUUAUUUCGUUUCGGCGCUGCUGAGACCUCCUUUCGCGGAAUAUUACUGACAGUGUACGAAGAACGCGAGUUCACCUUCUUGACGAAAAUCGUGGACUACCAGUUUGAAGUCAUUGAACUACUUCCAAAAGUUGUAUCGACAUCAACAGGAUUACGAUUUCAGUGCAAUAUGAUGCAGGAUGACCUUAUCACGAUAACCCAUGAUUAUAAACCAUUAUCGCCUUCUUAGUAUUUGACCCCACUAAUUUCCCUGAUACCUAAGCGGUCAAAUAUAUCGCGUAUUUGACUGCUUAGUCAAAUACACGAUAUAUUUGACUACUUAUAUUUGACUCCUUAGAACUUCUUGGACUUAGAAAUUUUCUCUUCAACUUAGAAAAAGAAAUUUUUGAAGAAAGCAUUAAUACACAAGAUGGGAUUUGAACUCACAACCUUGUGAAUCUCAGUCACUCUUCCUCACCACCCAGCCACUGUGUUACCGAUGCUGAACCUAGUUUAAACAAUAAUCUUGACUUUCAAUGCAGUACAAUGUGGUAUAGGUUAUAGUAUAAUACUAGAAUUACAAGGAUUAUGUUGUAUAUGAAGAGAAACUAUUGCGUGGAGAACACGAUAAAUAGAUUAUAGACCUCAUAGUUGGUCUAUACAGGAUAUAUAGACCUCGUAAAAGACCUCGGGGGACCUCGGUCUUUUACUCGGUCUAUAUAUCCUGUAUAGACCUCCUAACCGGUCUAUAAUCUAUACUUAUAAACACAGAAUCAACAAAAACAUCUGCGACAAGUACCUGGUUACAUUUCUCAAAUAAAUCUGAUCGAGGGUGGGGAAAUCUGAAAUAUCUGAAAGGCAAGACAAUUUUAUGACAGAGUCAUGAAAUUCUGCUACAGCAACAUGCACAGAAUGACCUCCGUAUAAAAAAAGUAUCACCACUGUCCACCACUACACUCACAUGUAUCCCCGCAGAAGAACAUGCUAGUGCCAUUUUCUGCAAGAAAAGGCUUGCACAUCAAUGCGUAUGAUACGGUGUAAUUGACAUGAUGUGAAGGCCAUCAUUUACAUAAUUAUUGAUAUAGGGCAUUCCAUUGGUGACAGAAAAAACAAAAGAAAUUAUAGCAAUAAAAACUGCUUUAUGGCAGUUUUCUAAAAAAAGUUAUUGUGUUCUAGUCCAUGGACCCCGUCUAAAAAGUAAGAAAUUAACGAAAUGUGAUAGCCGAAAAUUAAAAUUUCACACAAAACCUCACAAUAAUCACAUACAGAAUGAAAAGCUACAUGCAGAAGACCUGUAAAAAGGCCCUAGGCCUGUGGGACUGCCGUAUUCAAAAUUUAAUAAUAAUAAUAAUAAUAAGACCUUUUCCCCUCGUGAUCCUCUUUCCUAUGCAUGCAUGACAUGCAUGUUGCCAAUUGUUGUGCGGUACAAGUUUAGUGUUGAAAGCAGCAUUUCAAGUGUUGUGAUUAUUGUGAGGUUUUGUGUGAAAUUUUAAUUUUCGGCUA